CGAGUAAUAAGUUAAUAAAACUAUAUGAUUCAUGGUCAUACUUUGGUUUACCCCUUAUUUGU
rnacentral:tRNA from 1 species